GCUAGGCCCAGCAUAAAUUGCAUGUCCCAAUUCAAGUAAUUCAUGCAAAUGGAAAUGGAGUCUAGCGCGAUUGUUGGGUUUGGUAGAAGGCCUGAUAUGAGUACCAUUCCUUGGCUGUACCAUAUCUCCAAACAGAGCAUGACAGCAGAGGAAAGUGUGAGCUUGAAAUAAGGCCAAAUUCCUCUGAACGCUUUUAUAGAUAAGCCAGUCCAAGUUUCCUUGCAUUUUGGACUCAGAACAAUGUAGAGUCCAUUUAAGAUGACAAGAAGCCACCAAGACAAACUUAGUGUUAAGGCUGCUCCUAUAAGCCCAUAGUCCAAUUUAAAAACAACAAGCCAAGAAAGAAGGAUGUGAACUAAGAAAACCCCCACAGCCAUGUAUGCUAGAGGGUUCACAAUGUUCUGAGCUUGAAG
rnacentral:misc_RNA from 1 species